UACGUAGGGGGCAAGCGUUGUCCGGAUUUAUUGGGCGUAAAGAGCGUGUAGGGCGGCUAGAUAGGUCCGUUGUGAAAACUCGAGGCUCAACCUCGAGACGUCGAUGGAAACCAUCUGGCUAGAGUCCGGAGAGGAGAGUGGAUUCCUGGUGUAGCGGUGAAAUGCGCAGAUAUCAGGAAGAACACCCGUGGCGAAGGCGGCUCUCUGGGACGGUACUGACGCUGAGACGCGAA
rnacentral:rRNA from 1 species